UAGGGUCAGCGAUUGGGGUGAAGUCGUAACAAGGUAGCCGUAGGAGAACCUGCGGCUGGAUCACCUCCUUUCUAUGGAGAAAU
rnacentral:rRNA from 1 species